AUUGAAAAUCCCUAUACUCGGCAGAUCCAUCCCCAACGCCCUUAUUCCCUUUCUUCACCAACUUCUUCAGAAACUCUCCUCUGCCUUCUUCUCCAGCCGCCGCUCCUCCUCCGCCGCCUUCCACUCCUCAAGAAUUCUCUCUAGCUCUAGAUCUCUCUCUCGCUCCUUCUCUCUCUAGCCGCUUCUCGCAGUUGCCGACUCCGAUUCUCACUGUCGCCGCUCCCGAUUCUCGUUGCCGCCGCCGAUUCUCGUCGUUGCCGAAAAGCGAGAGACAUCUCUCCUCACCAUCAACACCUCCUCCUUCUUUCGGUUGCUGCAAUUGUUACUCAGCCACCUUCAAGAAGGGAUAGGGGGAAAAAGUUGUUGCUUCUCCAAUAGCACAAUCUGCUCUUGAUAGAAACUUCCCUUCCGACUUUAUUUUCACACCCGAAUGGGCGGGAGAGGAGAUUUUCUUGUCCAACUUAAGAGAAUUGAAGCCAGAACUUUGUAUUACAGCAGCAUAUGGGAAUAUUUUACCUAGGAAAUUUCUCAAUAUACCUCCAUGAGAUGAGAUGUCAAAUUGAUAUGAUAGUUGCACUUUGAUUUGAAGAUCCUUUCUUUGCUUCCUCUUGGGACCCGAAAAGAGAAGAUCUUCCGCCACCGCCACCACUGGCCUCAGUUUGUU